rnacentral:rRNA from 1 species
GGCUGGUUCCAUGAGGUGACUUCUGCCCAGUGCUCUGAUUGUCAUUGCGAAGAGAUUCAGCCAAGCGCGGGUAAACGGCGGGAGUAACUAUGACUCUCUUAAGGUAGCCAAAUGCCUCGUCAACCAAUUAUUGACGCGCAUGAAUGGAUCAACGAGAUUCCUGCUGUCCCUAGGUGCUGUCCGGUGAACCAACAGCCAAGGGAACGGGCUUGGAUGUGUUAGCGGGGAAAGAAGACCCUGUUGAGUUUGACUCUAGUUUGAUGCUGUGCAACAACAUGGAGGGUGUAGCAUAGGUGGGAGGAAAGUGCCAUGAAGGAAUGAAGCCUGAAGCCAACGAGUUCUCUACGAGUUCUCUACGAGUUCUCUACCAGUGAAUGAAUGUCUGAAGGCCACACGAGUUCUCUACGAGUUCUCUACGAGUGAAUGAGUGUCUGAAGAGGAGCAAGUCUCCAUUGGUGCAAUCCAGCAGUGAAAUACCACUACCUUCACCGUUGUUUUACUCACUGAGUGACAAGGGAACAGCAGCCAUUGGACAUCAAGCCUUGCAUUCCUGUGAGGUUUGUGGCUACUACCUGCUUCGUGAUUCAAGUACUGUUAUCACUUGUGGUGACAGUGUGACUCUGUAUGGUUUCCAUACCAUAUCUGUUCGUUCGGAGCCUUGGGACAUUGAUCAGUUGGGGAGUUUGGCUGGGGCGGCACGCCUGUUACAAGACAACGCAGGCGUCCUGAAGCAAUGCUCAGAUGGGAGAGAAACCUUGCAUAGAGGAGCAGGCCAAAGGUGCUGCUGAUGAUGCUGCUUCCAGUACAAGCACGAAAUGUGUAAACAUGGCCUUGCGAUCCUUUGGUCAAGUGUACGAGUUCGGGAUAUUGAAGCCAGAGGUGUCAGAAAAAUUACCACAGGGAUAACUGGCUUGUGGCUGCCAAGCGUUCAAAGCGACGUCGCUUUUUGAUCCUUCGAUGUCGGCUCUUCCUAGCUUCCCACCCGCAGCCGAGUGGAAGAGUUGGAUUGUUCACCCACCAACAGGGAACGUGA